CCCUUAGAUGCUCUGGGCCGCACGCGCGCUACACUGGUCGAUGCAACGAGUUUCUUUCCUUGGCCGACAGGCCUGGGCAAUCUUUGAACAUCGAUCGUGAUCGGGAUAGAUUCUUGUAAUUUUUGAUCUUAAACGAGGAAUUCCUAGUAAACGCAAGUCAUCAGCUUGCAUUGAUUACGUCCCUGCCCUUUGUACACACCGCCCGUCGCACCUACCGAUUGAAUGAUCCGGUGAAAUCUCCGGACUGGCGUGAGUCGGAGCAAUCUGACAAACACCGGAAAGUUGAUUAAACCUUACCAUUUAGAGGAAGGUGAAGUCGUAACA
rnacentral:rRNA from 1 species